ensembl:rRNA 5S_rRNA 5S ribosomal RNA
GUCUACGGCCAUACCACCCUGAACGCGCCCGAUCUCGUCUGAUCUCGGAAGCUAAGCAGGGUCGGGCCUGGUUAGUACUUGGAUAGGAGACCGCCUGGGAAUACCGGGUGCUGUGGACU